rnacentral:rRNA from 1 species
AAUAUUGGACAAGGGGUGAAAGCCUGACCCCGCCAUGCCGCGUGUGUGAAGAAGGUCUUCUGAGUGUAAAGUACUUUUAGUUGGGAGGAAGGGCAGUAAGUUAAUACCUUGCUGUUUUGUCGUAACCGCCAGAAUUGGCAUCGGCGAACUGCGUACCAGCUGCCGCGGUAAUGCGUAUGUAGCAAGCGUUAAUCGAAAUUACUGGGCGUAAAGCGCGCGUAGGUGGUUUGUUAAGUUGGAAGUGAAAGCCCCGGGCUCAACCUGGGAACUGCUUUCAAAACUGACGAGCUAGAGUACGGUAGAGGGUAGUGGAAUUUCCUGUGUAGCGGUGAAAUGCGUAGAUAUAGGAAGGAACAUCAGUGGCGAAGGCGACUACCUGGACUGAUACUGACACUGAGGUGCGAAAGCGUGGGGAGCAAACAGG